rnacentral:misc_RNA from 1 species
UCCGGUUUGUCACCGGCAGUCUCCUUAAAGUUCCCACCAUGACGUGCUGGCAAAUAAGGAUAAGGGUUGCGCUCGUUACGGGACUUAACCCAACAUCUCACGACACGAGCUGACGACAGCCAUGCAGCACCUGUCUCAGAGUUCCCGAAGGCACGAAGCUAUCUCUAGCGACUUCUCUGGAUGUCAAGACCUGGUAAGGUUCUUCGCGUUGCGUCGAAUUAAACCACAUGCUCCACCGCUUGUGCGGGCCCCCGUCAAUUCAUUUGAGUUUUAAUCUUGCGACCGUACUCCCCAGGCGGUCAACUUAGCGCGUUAGCUACGCCACCAAGGGCACGAAGGCCCCCAACGGCUAGUUGACAUCGUUUACAGCGUGGACUAC